AAACCUCGGAGAAAUAACGCUCUGCAGAAGUACACUUCGAAACUUACUUUUUGCAUUGUAGCCUACAGCAACAAAAAACUUUGUGAGAUGGCAGAUUCUGGUCUAUCAGAAAAACUGCUCAUCACCGGGAGCGCGGAGAGCGUGCACGGACCCUUGCGCGCGCGCCCGGACCCACUGUAUCUGGAGAUCACGAUACUCCUCGGGUCUUUCAGAAAAUGGAUCCGAUUCUUCAGGAUAAAUAUCUGGAGAGCAUUUAUGUUCAUUCUGCCAUCACACAGAUCUGUCAGACUUCAGUGGCAUCACACUGUUUCCAGAUCAGUGAUGUGAUGUCUCUUCUAAGCUUUGAGCUUAACACAUAGAGAGGAACAGCUGCUUCUGGAUCAACAUGAAGAUGUGAAUUAUAAUCAGUACACACACUGGAAGUUAAGUAUGGGAGCAAAACCACUUUAAACAAACAAACAGAGACAGAACUUGCUUUUUAGUUAUGAUUUGAAUGAUUUUUCUUUAACAGUAGGCUACAUGUCGUCAUUUAAUGUGAACAGUAUAUCUUUAAAAUCUAGUCCUCCUCUUUUCCCCCUUCCUCUUCCUCUUCGCUCUUUAUUUUUCACUUUACUCAUGUGUAUUUGGCAAAUCAAAGCACGACACGACUAGAUUACAUUUAGAUUUAUUGUAGACCCACCCAAAGUGGAAGAGUUAAAGUAACAAGUUUUUCUCAAAA